rnacentral:rRNA from 1 species
UACAGAGGUGGCAAGCGUUGUUCGGAAUUACUGGGCGUAAAGAGCUCGUAGGUGGUUUGUCGCGUUGUUCGUGAAAACCUGAGGCUUAACCUUGGGCGUGCGGGCGAUACGGGCAGACUGGAGUACUGCAGGGGAGACUGGAAUUCCUGGUGGAGCGGUGAAAUGCGUAGAUAUCAAGAGGAACACCGGUGGCGAAGGCGGCUCUCUGGUCCAAACCUGACGCUGAGGAGCGAAAGCUAGGGGAGCAAACGGG